CCUACGGGGGGCAGCAGUGGGGAAUAUUGCACAAUGGGGGAAACCCUGAUGCAGCGACGCCGCGUGAAGGAAGAAGGUCUUCGGAUUGUAAACUUCUGUCUCAGGGGAAGAAAAUGACGGUACCCUAGGAGGAAGCCCCGGCUAACUACGUGCCAGCAGCCGCGGUAAUACGUAGGGGGCAAGCGUUAUCCGGAUUUACUGGGUGUAAAGGGAGCGUAGGCGGAUUGGCAAGUUGGGAGUGAAAUCUAUGGGCUCAACCCAUAAAUUGCUUUCAAAACUGUCAGUCUUGAGUGGUGUAGAGGUAGGCGGAAUUCCUAGUGUAGCGGUGAAAUGCGUAGAUAUUAGGAGGAACACCAGUGGCGAAGGCGGCUUACUGGACAGUAACUGACGCUGAGGCUCGAAAGCGUGGGGAGCAAACAGGAUUAGAUACCCUGGUAGUC
rnacentral:rRNA from 1 species